CCUUUUGAUUAGGUUAUCAGUUGAGGCAUGCCCCAGGCGGAUGUGAAUCCCAUUAGUGGAGUCCUUUAUAAGAGAUGAAAUUCAGAGAUACACAUAGAGAAGCUGACAGUGACGGAAGACAGAAAUGGGACAGAGAAGUUCAGAGAGAAAAAACAGGAAAGCUGAGUAAUGACACACAGAAAACACAGAAGCAAAGGGGAAGCCACUGAAGCCAGAAGCUGGAAGCAAGAACCCGGGAGAAAGGGAGAGACCAACAGACAUCACCAGGAGCCCAGGCCACAUGACAGAGCAGCUGAGGAUCACCGGUAGCCAGUCUUUGGGGAGAAGGGUAACUCUGAGCCUCAUCCUCCAUAUGUGAGGAGAGCAUUUGAAAUUACUUGCCUUAUCUCAGGGGUCUGCACACUUUCUACAUAAAGGACCAGAGACUAAAAUGUUGGCUUUGCAGGCCAGAAACACUCGACUCCCCCUUCCACUUUGGCUUUCUGUCUGUUGUGAUAUCACUCAUCAUGUGGCCACUGGAAACCUCCAAUAUACACUCAUGAGAGGAUGAGAAUGGAAAAGUGUAACCAAACCAAACUCCAGAACCCAGUGACAUCCAAAACUUGAACUUCCUCUAUUUCUGGAUUUAAAAAAUGCGUUCACAAAUCAAUUGUGCAAUUUGAUCACACUUUUUCACUUCAGACUUUUCUUUGCCAAAAUUAAA